AUUGAACGCUGGCGGUAGGCCUAACACAUGCAAGUCGAACGAGUGGCGGACGGGUGAGGAAUAUAUCGGAAUCUACUCUGUCGUAGGGGAUAACGUAGGGAAACUUACGCUAAUACCGCCUACGAUUUAAUGAGCCGAUGUCGGAUUAGAUAGUGGGUGGGGUAACGGCCCACCAAGGCGACGAUCCGUAGCUGGUCUGAGAGGAGGAUCAGCAACACGGGAACUGAGACACGGUCCGGACUCCGACGGAGGGCAGCAGUGGGGAAGAUUGGACAAUGGGCGCAAGCCGGAUCCAGCAAUACCGCGUAGGUGAAGAAGGCCUUCGGGUUGUAAAGCCCUUUUGUUGGGAAGGCGGUACCCAAAGAAUAAGCACCGGCUAACUUCGUGCCAGCAGCCGCGGUAAUUC
rnacentral:rRNA from 1 species